rnacentral:rRNA from 1 species
UACGAAGGGUGCAAGCGUUAAUCGGAAUUACUGGGCGUAAAGCGCGCGUAGGUGGUUCAGUAAGUUGGAAGUGAAAUCCCCGGGCUCGACCUGGGAACUGCUUUCAAAACUGCUGAGCUAGAGUACGGUAGAGGGUGGUGGAAUUUCCUGUGUAGCGGUGAAAUGCGUAGAUAUAGGAAGGAACACCAGUGGCGAAGGCGACCACCUGGACUGAUACUGACACUGAGGUGCGAAAGCGUGGGGAGCAAACAGG